rnacentral:sRNA from 1 species
AGAGCUUAACUUCUUCCCUCACUUUGGCUGCCUCAGCUCCCUACAAGGGCCCUUCCUAGAUGCCAGAAUUUAUAAAUUGCAAAGUCAUUGAUUCCAACCCUCUGCUGAUGUGCCAAGUGCCAGGAUGGUAUCUGCACUCACUUCCAGUCCAGCACCUGCAAGUUGCUUCUUGUGAUGGGAGCUCAUUGACUCCAGAAAAUGUGGGAUAGGAAGGUUGAAUGAUAAGAAAUGAGGUCAGAUCAUGUAUGUUCCCUCCCUGAAGAGAGAGGUGGUAGGGUCUGGGGAGGAUCUCAGUGAAGUUGGUCUGGACGGUGGGUUUAUGGGAAGAGAGAACUGGACAAGAAAAAGACCCUGUGGGACCCGGAAUGCCAGGCUGAGGGGCUGGAACCUUGUCCCAGGGGUACUGGGGAGCCAUGAAAGGAUUGUGAACAGGAGGGUCUGGGUCAGCUCUGGGUAUAGGAAGACCGUUCUGAGGCCGUGUAGGAGACAACCUGGAGGGGAGAGACUGCAGGUCAGGCUAGAGGCUGGCAUGAGGGAUUUAGGGGAAAAGAACAAGGCCUAAACAGAGAGCAGAGGAUGGGGCAGAGAGAGUCAGGGGGCAGUAGGGACGGGGCAGUAGUGGGCUGUUGGGGAGGGAGUGAUGACAGUACCUGGAGAUGUAACCCGGUCCCCCUGCUUCCAUCAAGCUGGAGAAGGGAAACCUUCGAGUCAAGCAGCUGAAGCGGCAGCUGGAGGAGGCCGAGGAGGAGGCAUCCCGGGCUCAGGCUGGCCGCCGGAGGCUGCAGCGUGAGCUGGAAGAUGUCACAGAGUCGGCCGAGUCCAUGAACCGUGAAGUGACCACACUGAGGAACCGGCUUCGGUAUGGUCAUCCCACGUACAGGCCUGACGGGUGGGCAGCACCCUCACUCCAUAAACCCCAGGGACGCGAGGCCGUGCCAGGGGCAACAGCAGGGGGAAAUGGGAUCCACGGGGGUGUGGGGCUGUGGGAACAGCAGCUGUGUUGCGGGAGAGCCAGAUCCAGGUAACUUCUUUCUUCCCACACCCAUUUCUCCCCGUCUCAUCUCUGUGCCCUCAUUUCCCACUGUGCACCACCACCUUUCUCUCCUUUCCUCCUCUCUGUGUGUCCUUCGUCCCUCUCUGCUCCCCAUUGCUUCUGCCCGUCUCCCUCCAUUUCUCUUGAUCUCAUCUCUCUCUUCCCCCUUAUUUUGUUCUCUCUCUCCCUAUCUCUCUCUCUCUCUCUCCCCCUCCCUCUUUCUCCUCCCCUCCCCUCAUUUCAUCUCUGUAUCCUGGUCUGUCCUCCCCACAGACGCGGCCCCCUCACCUUCACCACCCGCACGGUGCGGCAGGUCUUCCGACUAGAGGAGGGCGUGGCAUCCGACGAGGAGGCAGAGGAAGCACAGCCUGGGUCUGGGCCAUCCCCGGAGCCUGAGGGGUCCCCACCAGCCCACCCCCAGUGACCCUACCGUGUCCCCAGAUGCACUAACAGAUGCGGCCCAGCCCCCUUCCUCCCUGGACCCCACAGGCCCCUGUCCCAGGAACCCCGCCCUCUGACUUCCUGCCCUUUGGAAAUGGUGCAGCACUCUGGCAUUUAUCAUCCCCACCUGGGCCCCCUGCAACCUCCCAUCAAAGGAUGACCCCUAAACACAGAGGAGCGGGGCAGGCAGGGAGGCAAGGACUGGAGCUACCUUGCUUGUGGGGGGACUGGGUACAGUUGGCAAGCUGUGUUCCCAUCAGCUCCCUGUCCUCCUUUCUUCCCUUGUUAUUGAUCUCUAGACAUUAGGAAGGGAGUGAGACGGCUCCUCCACCGUCCUCAGCCAGUGCAGCCCAUUCCGUCUGCUUCUCUCUCUCUCUCCGUCCCUCUCCUUCCCUACCCUCUCACCGUCUUGGCGUCUCUGAGGGUCCCUCUGUGCAUCUUUUUAGGGAUCUCGCUCUCACUCUCUCUCUACGUAGCCACUCUCCUUCCCCCAUUUCUGUGUCCACCCCCGAACUCCUGAGCGACAGAAGCCCCAGGCCUCCACCAGCCUUGAACCCUUGCAAAGGGGCAGGACAAGGGGACCCCUCUCACUCCUGCUGCUGCCCAUGCUCUGCCCUCCCUUCUGGUUGCUGAGGGUUCGGAGCUUCCCUCUGGGACUAAAGGAGUGUCCUUUACCCUCCCAGCCUCCAGGCUCUGGCAGAAAUAAACUCCAACCCGACUGG